rnacentral:ncRNA from 1 species
AAAUAAAAUGAUCUCACAAAAAAAGGAAGUGUACAGUACGAAAUAACAUAAAAGCAGACUUGUUCCAUUAAAAAUAAAGAUAUAGCCCUCUACUUUACUUCCAUUUUUUUGGCGGGAAUCAGAAAAAAACGAAAUAUUGGAAUCCUAUUCGAUCCUUUCUUUUUCUGCAUGGACGAAGAACGAAAGACGGAGCAAUCUGUCACUGAAGGAUGGGCCUGCGGCGCAUUAGCUAGUUGGUGGGGUAACGGCUCACCAAGGCGACGAUGCGUAGCCGACCUGAGAGGGUGAUCGGCCACACUGGGACUGAGACACGGCCCAGACUCCUACGGGAGGCAGCAGUAGGGAAUCUUCCGCAAUGGGCGAAAGCCUGACGGAGCAACGCCGCGUGAGUGAUGAAGGUUUUCGGAUCGUAAAGCUCUGUUGCCAGGGAAGAACGUCUUGGAGAGUAACUGCUCUGAGAGUGACGGUACCUGAGAAGAAAGCCCCGGCUAACUACGUGCCAGCAGCCGCGGUAAUACGUAGGGGGCAAGCGUUGUCCGGAAUUAUUGGGCGUAAAGCGCGCGCAGGCGGCCGUUUAAGUCCGGUGUUUAAUCCCGAAGCUCAACUUCGGGUCGCACU